GAAAUAAGAUUUUAAAUGAGUGCUAAGAGAAUGAUUAAACAAUUAAAAGCUUUCUUUAAUUAAAAAAUUAAAUUUAAUUUUUUAGUGCAAAAGCAAAAAUAAAAUUUAGGGACAAGAAGACCCUAUGAAUUUUUAUUGUUAAUAAUUAAAAUUUAAGUUAUUAAUAAUUUAAUUGGGGCGAUAAAAAAAGAAUAAGUAUCUUUUUAGUUAUAAAAUAAGUUCCGUUUUUAACGAUUAAAUGAAAUAAAUACUCUAGGGAUAACAGCGUAAUAAUUUUGGAUAGUUCAUAUAGAUAAAAUAGUUUGCGACCUCGAUGUUGGAUUAGGAUUCUU
rnacentral:rRNA from 1 species